AUGGUCCUUCCGGGGGAAUCGAGAUCUUGGAUGCGUCUAGAAUGGUGUCAUAUUGAGGGGUGCCCCAAGCUACACACUUUGUUCCCUGCUCAUGAACAUGAGUUCUUUGAAUCAAUAAGGAUAUUUUUUGCAUCUGAUCUCCCAAUGGCCUAUUGCAUCUGGGUUAGAAGCAUUUGUCAUCACUCUUCCAGCUUUGAAGGCUUACAAUACAUAUACUUGCACAAUUGUCCACCGUUGGUGUUUAUCCUCCCUAUUUCUUCCUUCACCUUGCCACACUUGGAGUCCAUUCAAAUUGCACACUGUAGUAAUCUCCAACAUAUAUUCCCACUGAACGAUGAGUGCCCUCAAGAGAUAGCAUCUAAAGUAACAUUCAAGAAGCUGAAGCACAUCAAGCUGUACCAUCUCCACAAGCUAGAGCAGAUAUGCGAUACUAGACUGAUCACCGCAUCGGCCUUAGAGACGAUCAGCCUUAGGGAUUGUUGGGGCCUGAGACGGCUACCAGCCGUGUCACUUGAAGGUCCCAAGCCGGUGGUGGACUGUGAGAAGGACUGGUGGGAUAGGCUGGAUUGGGACGGAUCCGAGGCCAGCCAUGAACCAUCACUCUUCAAGACAUGCCACUCGGUUUACUACAGGAAGACCCUCCCGAGGGUCUCCAUUCUAAGGUAA
rnacentral:rRNA from 1 species